UGGUAACAUAGUAGAAUUCCAACUUUGACUGUAUAAUUCAUGUUCUUUUGGAGUGUUUUCCUGCAUUGACUUCUCAUGCUUCAAUGUUGACUUUUGACUGCAUUGACUUCUGGUUGACUGUGGCCCACCUUUUAUAAGCUUUGACCAAAUCCAGAUGAUCAAAACCCAGAUAUGUUCCACAUUCACUGCCAUGAUCAGGGUCAUUCAUCCCUUGUCCGUAUUUUACUUUCAGAUAACUUAUUAACCUGCUUCUCCCUUUAUCAUUUUCAUAGCAAACUUUGACCCAAUAACUCCCAUAAAGUUGACCAUUGACCACAAGCAUUUGACUUCUAAUAUUUUUUACCUUUGACUUGAAUUGACCUGCAUAAGUAAGCCAAUGUCACAAGUAAAAUAGUAGAUGGCAAUCUGCAAGAAUUCCAAACCCACAUAACGCAGCCAGAGACACUGAUGAACAAAUGUAUAAAGCGCCAGCCUUUAUAGCUUUUACUUGAUGCAACACCUCCAUAACACCCCUUGGCACUAUCCAUUUAUCUAUUUAGCACGGUAAGUUAAACGUGCUAUGAGUAUCAUAAACGGGUUGAACCCUUUUGGAUACGUUUUUAAUCUUGUGAGUAAUAUGUGGUCCUAAACCCAUUUACCCCAAACACUAACCCGUUUAAGCUUGCAACUCCGACCAUAUAAUUAAUCAAACUCUCACAUGGGGUCCUGAAACUUUAACAACAGAAACGGGAAUUUCCAGUAGCGCAUAAGUUUUUUUUCCUUGUAUAGCAUGUAGCAAUUUUCCUCUACUGAAUAUCAAGUUUCAUAUAAGCAAAAUAUAUAAGUAGAAAUAUAACACGUAUGACAGAAAGAAAAAAGUUGUGGCAACUAAUAUUCUGCAUACUAAAAGUAAAAGGUAUGAAUGUUAGUGAAGUUACUUUGAACAGAUUCUACGACAUACUUAACAGCCACUGUUUGAUAUAUAUUUAAGAAACUGCAUAACUACUGGUUCCCAAUGACACAUAGUCACAUAGAGCUAGGAAGCAAUGGGUGGAGGGCCAAAGUCAACAGCAGUUGGAAUAUAAAGUUUGUAAUAGUCAAAAUCAGAUUUCUGCUAGUCAAUAUCUGAUGUAUAUGGCAGGAAAUCUUAAUAAUGAUAUGGUCAAUUCAGGUCAUAAGCAAAAGUCAACUAAGAAAUCAAAUUGGGCUUAUUAUUUGAUUGACAAAAGGGAAGGCAUUGUGUCACCUGACAGGUUGGCAAUCUGGAUUGUUUAUUUGGAAGGUGCAAAUGGAACCAAAUCAUUACAAGUGGAUCAAGUUUGGUAUUUUUAUGACAUGGGUGUCACACUUCGGUCUAUCUAAUGUUAUUUUUGCGGGACACUUUGGUGAGUUAAUAAAUUUUUUAACUGUUACAGUUACAAGUACUCUGUGUGCUAAGGAUAAUAAGACUGUGCACAAACUGGAGACAGAGGUAUCAAACGCAAAAAGAAGCAAAUCAGAUGAAGGAUGGAAUGGAAUGGAAAAUGACAAGAAAACGGGAAUCAGAAACCUACACAGGAAAAAGCAAAUAUACAAAAGCCACCAAAGGACUAAAGUCAUUUUAAGCAAGAAGGGUCAUCUACCUGGAGCCGUCGGUGCUACCACAGCAGUAGCCAUGCCGCCAUUUUGACCCAACCCGUUUUGACCCCAAUCCAUUUUACAUGUUUUUCUAAAAGCUGCCGAUUCAGAGACGACCCGAAUUUGACACUUUACACAACCAAACCCAACCCAACCCAACCCGUCCUGACAGUUUGGACACAUUACACAACCUGACCCACCCCACCGUUUGCUAGUCGUAUUAAUGACAUUCUAAGACAUGUAAAAAUGAAUUAGACCUUAAUCACACCUUACACAUAACUGUUACGAACUACCAUGCUGCACAAGACUGGCCCGACCCGAGACCUAGAACCGGACCCUUUUGUAUCUUCGGAUAGGCAGCUGACUGGUAAAGGACCGUGACCAAUAAGAAUCUGGAAAACGGUGUGUGGAGGAACAGUAGCGAGCUGAAUUAUUAGAAUUCUAUUGAAUUGAGCUUCUGCACGCACAGGGGCGCAGCUUUGUAGCGGCCGGGAGGGGCGCCCGACCCCCGAACUUUUCUUAUAGAAAUUUUUACAUAUAUAUGUUUCGACACCUGGUUUUAUAUUUUUUUUAGGUAUAUACGUUUUCGACCACAGGUCGGAAAUCUCAAGCUUCGCCACUGUGCACGCAUACCACCUGUUUGAUGAAAAUCCUGUGAGUUUUGACUCCACUUUAAAUUAGCAUUGCUGGGUAAGCAGAUCCGCCGUCUAAACAGAGUACGCUAUAACUUUCAUUGAGGAAUGUGGGUAAGAUGUAUGUAAAUGUGGCUUGGGCUCAAAAUAAAACAGAAUCCAAUUAAGCCCCAUCUGUUAUUCUGAUCCAUUUUAGUUAUUACUUGACUGGCUCUACAUGUUUUUAGGCCGAAAAAAAUGUGUGCGUAAACAGCCUACAUGCGUAAAAUAUUUUCUAAAAUCUAACUAAUGAGACGCUUCUUAUCA